AAUGUUGAAAAAUUAGCGGAUGACCUGUGGCUGGGGGUGAAAGGCCAAUCAAACCGGGAGAUAGCUGGUUCUCCCCGAAAGCUAUUUAGGUAGCGCCUCGUGAAUUCAUCUCCGGGGGUAGAGCACUGUUUCGGCUAGGGGGCCAUCCCGGCUUACCAACCCGAUGCAAACUGCGAAUACCGGAGAAUGUUAUCACGGGAGACACACGGCGGGUGCUAACGUCCGUCGUGAAGAGGGAAACAACCCAGACCGCCAGCUAAGGUCCCAAAGUCAUGGUUAAGUGGGAAACGAUGUGGGAAGGCCCAGACAGCCAGGAUGUUGGCUUAGAAGCAGCCAUCAUUUAAAGAAAGCGUAAUAGCUCACUGGUCGAGUCGGCCUGCGCGGAAGAUGUAACGGGGCUAAACCAUGCACCGAAGCUGCGGCAGCGACGCUGAUGCGUUGUUGGGUAGGGGAGCGUUCUGUAAGCCUGCGAAGGUGGCCUGUGAGGGUUGCUGGAGGUAUCAGAAGUGCGAAUGCUGACAUAAGUAACGAUAAAGCGGGUGAAAAGCCCGCUCGCCGGAAGACCAAGGGUUCCUGUCCAACGUUAAUCGGGGCAGGGUGAGUCGACCCCUAAGGCGAGGCCGAAAGGCGUAGUCGAUGGGAAACGGGUUAAUAUUCCCGUACUUGGUGUUACUGCGAAGGGGGGACGGAGAAGGCUAUGUUGGCCGGGCGACGGUUGUCCCGGUUUAAGCGUGUAGGUGUGUGUUCCAGGUAAAUCCGGUUCACUUUAACACUGAGGCGUGACGACGAGGCACUACGGUGCUGAAGCAACAAAUGCCCUGCUUCCAGGAAAAGCCUCUAAGCAUCAGGUAACAUCAAAUCGUACCCCAAACCGACACAGGUGGUCAGGUAGAGAAUACCAAGGCGCUUGAGAGAACUCGGGUGAAGGAACUAGGCAAAAUGGUGCCGUAACUUCGGGAGAAGGCACGCUGACACGUAGGUGAAGUGAUUUACUCAUGGAGCUGAAGUCAGUCGAAGAUACCAGCUGGCUGCAACUGUUUAUUAAAAACACAGCACUGUGCAAACACGAAAGUGGACGUAUACGGUGUGACGCCUGCCCGGUGCCGGAAGGUUAAUUGAUGGGGUCAGCGCAAGCGAAGCUCCUGAUCGAAGCCCCGGUAAACGGCGGCCGUAACUAUAACGGUCCUAAGGUAGCGAAAUUCCUUGUCGGGUAAGUUCCGACCUGCACGAAUGGCGUAAUGAUGGCCAGGCUGUCUCCACCCGAGACUCAGUGAAAUUGAACUCGCUGUGAAGAUGCAGUGUACCCGCGGCAAGACGGAAAGACCCCGUGAACCUUUACUAUAGCUUGACACUGAACAUUGAGCCUUGAUGUGUAGGAUAGGUGGGAGGCUUUGAAGUGUGGACGCCAGUCUGCAUGGAGCCGACCUUGAAAUACCACCCUUUAAUGUUUGAUGUUCUAACGUGGACCCGUGAUCCGGGUUGCGGACAGUGUCUGGUGGGUAGUUUGACUGGGGCGGUCUCCUCCUAAAGAGUAACGGAGGAGCACGAAGGUUGGCUAAUCCUGGUCGGACAUCAGGAGGUUAGUGCAAUGGCAUAAGCCAGCUUGACUGCGAGCGUGACGGCGCGAGCAGGUGCGAAAGCAGGUCAUAGUGAUCCGGUGGUUCUGAAUGGAAGGGCCAUCGCUCAACGGAUAAAAGGUACUCCGGGGAUAACAGGCUGAUACCGCCCAAGAGUUCAUAUCGACGGCGGUGUUUGGCACCUCGAUGUCGGCUCAUCACAUCCUGGGGCUGAAGUAGGUCCCAAGGGUAUGGCUGUUCGCCAUUUAAAGUGGUACGCGAGCUGGGUUUAGAACGUCGUGAGACAGUUCGGUCCCUAUCUGCCGUGGGCGCUGGAGAACUGAGGGGGGCUGCUCCUAGUACGAGAGGACCGGAGUGGACGCAUCACUGGUGUUCGGGUUGUCAUGCCAAUGGCACUGCCCGGUAGCUAAAUGCGGAAGAGAUAAGUGCUGAAAGCAUCUAAGCACGAAACUUGCCCCGA
rnacentral:rRNA from 1 species